ensembl:snRNA U4 U4 spliceosomal RNA
AGCUUUGCUCAGAGGCAAUAUUGCAGCCAAUGAAGUUAAUCUGAGGCACAAUUAUUGCUAAUCGAAAGACAUUUAUUUUGGCUCCUGGUUCUGGAGACUGGGAAGUCCAAGAGCACAGUGCAGCACUGCU